rnacentral:lncRNA from 1 species
UCCAUCUUGAUCUUGUGAUCAUCGACGACAUCCGCAACAUGCAACUCCAAUAUCAUCUUCUCCUCCUCAAUUUUUCUAAUUUUUUCCUUCAACAAAUUGUUUUCUUCUUCAACUAAAUUUAACCUCUCGACAAUAGGGUCGGUUGGAAUUUCCGGUUCAACAACCUCCUAGAUGAAUAAAAUCUAUGUCACGUUGGUCGGCAUAAUUGUCAUAAAUAAUAAAUGAACCAAUAGUUAUGAAAAGAUAAUAUAUACCACAUCCGAAUCAUAGACAGGACGAGGGCCGACGGGGGCGGAUACCAAAACCAUCGCACUAUAUAAGAUGCAAUAAUAAAAGUAAGAAAAUUAUACAAGUAUAUAUCUAUCUAAACAUACAAAUAAGAAUAUUUUUCCUUUCGGAAAUAAGAUAAGAACAAGAGGCUCACCACGGUGGUGCCGCCAAUGAGAUCGGUGCGGGUGAUCGACGACGUUGAAGACGGGGAUGGGGCGUGACGGACCGCUAAACCUAGACAAAUAUGGAGGAAAAUGGAGCUUGACGGUCGAGCUUGGAGAGGAGAAACCUUAAGUAGUGUGGCUCGGGCAUUCCAUCGAACACCUUGUGUGCAUAUGAGGUGAGCUAGAGCACCACCAAGCCCUCUCCCCCUCGGCCAGAAAAAACAGAGCAGUGUGCUCUGCUCUUGC